ACUUCACUCUUUUCUGGGUGAGCAGACCUCUACAGAUGUCUCAUCCAGAGAUUUAUGAAUUCAUCUUCAUAGAAGAUAUGCAAGAAAAGGCAACUAAGUCUGAAAGCUAUGUGAACACCUGGAUCAUGCCAGUUCUUCCUGAAUAACUGCAGAAAAAGAUUGACUUUGGUUUAAAGCCUUCAAAAUGAAGCUUAGAAGUCUGACAAGAAGGGUCAUUAAAAUCUAAUUGAUUGAAUGGACCUUUGAGACCUUCCAG